ACAUAUAAGUUGCCUUAUCGCUUCUUAUGUAAUGGAAGAGGAAAGUCCGGACAAUACAGAGAGCCAUACUUCUUAACGGGAAGGGUCUUUAUUAAUAAAGAUACAGAUAGUGCCACAGAAAAUUACCGCCAUAAUGGUAAGGGUGAAAAAGUGAGGUAAGAGCUCACUAGUUUUAAUAGUGAUAUUAAAAUUGGGUAAACCUUAUGGAUUGAAAGAUCAAAUAAACCAAGGUGCACUUUGUGCUAAGAGUUUCUCGCUCAAACUUGGAGGGUAGAUCGUUUGACUAUAUCAGUGAUGUUAUAGCUAGAUAAAUGAUAAGGAUCUUAGAUUAAGAUACAGAAUCCGGCUUAUAGACUUUAUGUAAUU
rnacentral:RNase_P_RNA from 1 species